UACAGUCAGUUCCGCCCCCGCUUGGGGGCGGGCUCUGCUGCUUAUCCUUGUGUUAACCUGAGGAGAGAACGGGAUCAAGAGGUUCAGAGAGCACAUGCGUGGCUACCUGGCCAAAGGAGCUAUUCUUACUUAGCAACAUGCUUCACAAGUCCAGGGUCCAAAUCUGCCCCGUGGUCCUCUACUCAUGACAUCUGAGUAGCUAGGUCUGCAGCCCCGUCAGACCUUCCAACUUCCCAGUGUCCUUACAGGUAGCGAAUGUUGGCUCCCAUCACUGAACAGCUAUGGUAUACUGAGCCUAGGUCAAAUCAACAUCUUGGGUGUGUGGGGAGAACAGACUCACAGGCCUGAGUGUUCCUAACAACCGUGUCACCAAUUUCUUUUUUCUUUUUUUUUUUUGUAACCUGGAAUGUUCUAGAAUUUUAGCAGAUUUUCACCAAUCCCGUCUCAGGAUUUGGUUUUGGAGAAAGCCCAGGUGAAGUGAAAGUUUCUGGUUGUGUCAUGUGAUGCAGACUCACAGGGUUUGCUGAGGAGAGACCUGUGGGAGGACAGGUGAUGGACAUGUGAUAUUUGGAGAGAGUUUAAGAGAGACUCAAUGGACAGUGACAGGAAGCUUGCGUGGCCUGGCGGUUUCUGCUGGAUCUCGCAGGUUUGCUACCCUGACACUACUGAACUGGACUGCUGACAAGUGGAGAUUGGACUCCCCCCGCCCCCAAACUACUUCUAAACAGAUGAGUCAUCUGUUGAGGAGACAGGGGAGGACAUGUUGGUUCUCCUCUCCCCCAGCUCAGCGGGGAUCUCAGUAUCCGCUGAUUAUUCCUGUGUGAAAUCAUCAACUGUGUCGACGGCCAGGCUCUGAUUUUGUAGCUCCAUCACUGCUUCUGUAUUCACUGGGUGUCUGUCUAUUGAACAGCCGCCUUGGUCUUCUUAAUUAAUUAAUUAACCAGUUAACUAAUUAAUCUCAACACAGACUAUUAAUUAAUAAAGAUAUUAAUGCACUAAAA